rnacentral:rRNA from 1 species
UCGGGAAUCUUCGGCAAUGGGGGCAACCCUGACCGAGCAACGCCGCGUGAGUGAAGAAGGUUUUCGGAUCGUAAAGCUCUGUUGUAAGAGAAGAACGUGUGUGAGAGUGGAAAGUUCACACAGUGACGGUAACUUACCAGAAAGGGACGGCUAACUACGUGCCAGCAGCCGCGGUAAUACGUAGGUCCCGAGCGUUGUCCGGAUUUAUUGGGCGUAAAGCGAGCGCAGGCGGUUUAAUAAGUCUGAAGUUAAAGGCAGUGGCUUAACCAUUGUUCGCUUUGGAAACUGUUAAACUUGAGUGCAGAAGGGGAGCGUGGAAUUCCAUGUGUAGCGGUGAAAUGCGUAGAUAUAUGGAGGAACACCGGUGGCGAAAGCGGCUCUCUGGUCUGUAACUGACGCUGAGGCUCGAAAGCGUGGGGAGCAAACAGG